GCUACGGCCAUACCAGCCUGGGUACGCCCGAUCUCGUCUGAUCUCGGAAGCUAAGCACGGUCGGGCCUGGUUAGUACUUGGAUGGGAGACCGCCUGGGAAUACCAGGUGCUGUAAGCA
rnacentral:rRNA from 1 species